rnacentral:lncRNA from 1 species
UCCAAUCAUGAUUUAGAAAUAUCUUUUAAACCUAUAUAUUUUUCUUUCCUUUCUUUUAUUUUUUGGCUUUAGAAAACAAAAUACCUAGAGCACGUAUGUCUUGUCUUUAUAAAUUGUACAAAUAAAUAAUUAAAUCACAUCAAACUUACAACCAAAAAUCUACAACAACAAUUUAUACAGCUACAGAAAAAAAUUCUACAACAUUAAUUGUACAACAAAAUAUAUAAAACUACAGCUCUUUCCAAUCAACCUCAUACUAGGAUAAGACAUGCGCCUUACGCAGAGUGAAUUUAUAGGAAUUUUUUUAAAGAAAUAUUGUAUGAAAAAUUAAAAUUUAUAUUCCUAAUCGAAUUAAUAUUUUUGGCCCUUAAAUUGUUUUUAAAAUAUUUUUUGUUAAUUACAUAAUUUGCUUACUGAUUAGCUGAUUUCAUUUUUUA